GAGACCGCAAAAUAAAAAUGGAGUCGCUAGGAGAAGCAGCCUAGCGGUAAAGAACCCUACCCCAUUCCCAUCGCCGCCGCCUCUCACCGUCUCCUCCCCUCGCGCUCCCCCUUCCCUUGAUGCACCUCGCCGUCAGUCUCCUCCUCGAGCAGGGCGGCCACCACUCUAGGUGGUGGCUCAAGUUCUUCGCAGAAGCCGGCGGCUCUCGUUGUCGAGCACAACAACAGUGCAGGAGCGGUUGACAAGAUGGUGAGGAAGUGGAGGAGGAGGUCCGAUCUCCCUGCCGCUCUACCCAUCCUUGCCGGGCUAGCCACCCCUCCCAACAUCCACCGGCCUUUCUCCUCUCUCGGUUCUGCCUUCAUUGAGACGUCAUGCGCUCCCUGAUCUGCUCUGAGCUCGCUGAUCCACGACCCUGGGGCGACCUGAUGAACUAUGCAGACAUGGUGUUCGACGGAAUAUCUAUAUGGUCGUCGAGCAGCUUGUAGGUGGUGGAGAAUACAUGAGGUCCAGCUUCUAAAUCAUCACUUGUAUGCUCCUAAUAUUUUGGAGAGCUGCUGCCGAAAGAGACGACAAGUCGACAAGGAGCAUAGAUAGACCAGAAGAAGCCGACAAGGACGUUCAGAUCCGUCGCCUGCGCCCCCAACGAUGCUAUCGUCCGUGUCCCUGGUGCAUCCACGGUCCAUGUCCCUGGUUCAGGUACACACUACCAAGGUUCCCACUGGUUUCUUGAUGGGGCUGGAACAUGAGGACGUUGGAGACAAUCGAGGAAAAAGGCUGGUGCGAGGGCGGCUCAAACUGGCCGUGGCAAUGUGUUUUUGUUCAGGUGUAGUCUGAAGCAAGAAGAUGACGUUCUACAAAAGAUUAGGCACAAACCUUGCUAUUCAAGCAUGUAAUGGUUGGA